UGGAUAUUUCCUGUUUCAUACAUCUGACUUAUGUAAAUUCAGCUCUAGGGAAAAUAUUUUCCAUCAGUUUUGUUUUGCUGUAUAGAACAUAAACAUAUAAUAUGUUUGCAGAUUAAAAACACAAACAUAUUAGUACAACAUUCAAAAGUUUAAGUAAUUGAAUUUCUUUAUGUUGUAUGUAUUGUUUAUUGACUUUAAAUAUCAUAUUUAGAUACUAUGGGAGACAAUGUAAUAUUAUCUGGAGGCACGGCAGUGCUGCCGCCAAGUCAAGCAGGCACAGCCGUACCAUCCUUUUCUGGAAGCAACUCAGGAUACUUUUCGCACCUCCAUAUCUUUGUACUGGAGUUGCCCAAGAACUUGAAAUUUUUUUUAUCUAGAGUAUUUGGCAAAUGGAAGGAAACCUCUAAAUUUCACACUUCUAUCUUUUCUAAUUCCAAAGAUAUAUGUACUCAAAAUUUCGUUU
rnacentral:lncRNA from 1 species